GCUCCCUGCAUCCCCAGCCACCUGUCCCAUUGCAUCCCAAUUGAAUCUGAAGAAGAUGGAGAAUGGGACAUUGCAGGGGCAUGGCACACUGUGGGUGACAUCAAAUCCUAAGGAACAGUGGCUGAACUAUUCCUGCAGGGCCAGCAGCUCCCACACUGGCUGCAGCCUGUAGGGAAACAGUGCCCCUUUUUUUUUUUCCCAGCAGGCUGCCCUUAGCUUUAGUCAUUAUCCCCCUGCAACCCUCAGAGCCCAAACCCCAACCCUUCUGCUUGCACGAAACACGCAGUUCAGCCCGGAUUUAGUCAGGAGCUUGCCAAAACACCCAAAAGCACAGCGUGCCAAGGGUCCAGCCCCCAAAGCUGUGGCUCCUCUGAGGGCUGGCGGUGCAGCAGGGCUGUGCACAAGGCGCCCUUGUCCCCUGUGCCGUGGAACAAAGGCCGCUGCUGUGCGCUAAUGCUGGCGGCUUGGCGGCAGGCAGGGGGGUGAUGGGGCGGGCACGGGGUGGAUUAGCCUCCAGUGAUCCCACAGGGAGCUUUCUGAGCACCCUGCAGCUCCCAGACGCUGGAGGUUUCUCCACAGUUCCCUGGUGCUCCGGGCAGGUAAGGCUGUGGGGUGCCCGGCCUGCUGAGCGCAGUGCCUCGGGGUGGGGCAGGCAGGGCUUUUGGGGUGAACGCUGAGAAAGCGAGCAGGAUUUAUGUGCCUUCUGCCACUAGCUCAGGGAGAGGGUCUUGUGGUUUAGCAAGCCCCCCUGGCCACCCAGCAUCCCCUCCCCAUGUCCCCAUGACCCUGCUCCUGCCCUGUGCCCCCUCUCUGGGGCUGGCAUUGGGAGGCACGGCAGGGCUGGGGCAGCCAGCACGAAGGAGAGGCAGAGUUCAAAGCAAAUUAAAAAAUGCAUAAAAUAGCCCCUGCUUGGUCUGCUUGGUAGAGGCUGAUGUCCCUCAGCCACUUCCACUGGAGUUGUAAAGGCCUCAAUCUGUCCCUUUUUUCCCUCUUAAAAACAGCACUGCUCCUUGCCAAAGCGUUUCCCCUGUCAUCCCCUGUGAGGGAGGAUGGCACCGGGGACGUCACUGCUCACACGGGGCUCGGGUUUCCAAUUUUCACUCGAGUGACACUGUCUGUCCUGACAGGUGCCGGCAAGAGGCCACCGCCAGCGUCCCCGCAGGCUGAGCGAGCGGCUGGUGCAGAGCAGGACACCGGUGGCAAUGCUCACCUAGGGUACCCGAAUCCAGGCACCCACACACGGUGCUGCCACCACACACGUGCAGCCAGGCGGAGGAGAGACCCCAACUCCAGCCCCAGCCAUGGAGCCGGCCCCCGAAAUGAAGAGGAAUAGGUUCCCCAGCAUGAACUUUGAAGCAGAGAUUCUGGCAGCUCCACACGAUAAUUCAGGUAUUUGGGAGAAAAAUCAAAAACCGAAAAGGAGAUGAAAGUAAACUACCCACUCCACUUGCUAUCACUACAAAUAUAUCUUGUUUUGGAAACAGAGUUGGAAGUUGUUAAAAAAACAAACAAGAAAUAAAAAAAAAACAGGAUACUACA
rnacentral:lncRNA from 1 species